CUCUGAGCAACAAGGCAAGCAACCAUUUUGAUCAUCCCGAUAAAUCCCAUGUUCUCGCUCCUGCACUUACUUAUUGCAUUAGGAUCAAAUGCUUCAAAUCCUUUUGCCACGUUAGUUGAACCCACUUCCUUUGCAUGACCUAUCCUUGUCACAGUAAAUAGCUGAACCUUGCAACCUAGCAUACCUGGUAGUUGCUUGAGCCAUGAUGUGCCUUAUCCUGCUAUGCAUGCUAUGCUUAGAGUUGUGUAUGGUCUGUCAU
rnacentral:lncRNA from 1 species